rnacentral:rRNA from 1 species
UGAGGUGAUUAUAGCCGGGAGGCCACACCCGUUCCCAUACCGAACACGGCCGUUAAGCUCCUCGGUGCCGAUGGUACUGCCAAAAGCGGGAGAGUAGGUGGUCGCCUCAU